GGGGACGUAGCUGAAUUGGUAGAGCAAUUACAUUUAACUCUUUAAAGUGGAACUUGAUAAUGUCUGUUUGCUGCUGAAACAAAGAUUGAGGUUCGAUUCCUCGCUUCUCCA
rnacentral:tRNA from 1 species